CAGAAAAGGGGAGGGACAGCAGUGAAGAUGUCAGCCAUUUAAGAAAAUCCGAUGCACUUUUCAGAACCCAGAGAAGAAUCCCUGCUUCUUUGCUGGAAUCUGGUCAAAGAGGGGAUGCUCGCUCAGUUACACUGGUUCCAGGGCAUUGCCCUCAGGACCAGUGACACACUAGGCUUUGUUCUAAGCUGGUUGCAUUAGCCACGCACCACAGCUCCAUGCCAAGCCCGGCUCUCCUGCCUUUCAGCAAAGUGGACACUGCAUGCUUGUGGGUGACCCCACAAGUACAAGUUCGUCUACUCCUUAACAUCCCGGACAGCAAUUCUGCAGCAGGCUGAACAGCUGUACCGAGCCAGCCUAUUGCCGCAUGGCUGGCUAGCUUCACCACCUUGUUUGUCACAGGUCAACAAGGGCAUCCCCUUCUCUGGGAAAGCAUUUCUGCCCGUCUGCCCCUGAGGCUAUGAGCUGCUCCUUGAGCUCUCCCAGAAGCGUGUGUCUCCCACCAUGGCACACUGGUGGUCUCUUUGCUGAAGUGGUCCACACAGACACGCAUUCAGUACCCUGACAGUGCUGUCUUCUCAUCAGUCCUCCCUGGAAACAAAGACUCUGUUCACCACUGUGCUUCCAGUGCCCAGUGCUACCUAGGGCAUAGGCAAGACUCUGCUAAUUUGUGCUGUGGAAUCAGAUGUGUCUGUCAGCUGCUCUGAGAGGAGAUUAGUGUCAAUUCCCCCAGUCAGUGAAGAAAUGCUCAAGUAAAGGAAGAAAGGAUAAAUAGCCUGUUCCAUGCCCUGCCUUGGGGAAUGCAUCUUUACAACUUUCAAGUCAGCGAAGCCUCCUUUCCGGGGGAAAUCAAACUCUGGUAGCAGACUUGGUUGAUGCUGAGCCUGUUUUAUAAACACUGCUAUUUUCCAUUCUGGGAUGCUCUUGUGUCA